UCACAGUUUGCACUGGCAGUCUUGUUAGAGUUCCCGACUUGACUCGCUGGCAACUAACAACAGGGGUUGCGCUCGUUAUAGGACUUAACCUGACACCUCACGGCACGAGCUGACGACAACCAUGCAGCACCUGUGCACUGGCCCCGAAGGGCUGCCGUAUUUCUACGGACAUUCCAGUGCAUGUCAAGCCUAGGUAAGGUUCUUCGCGUUGCGUCGAAUUGAACCACAUGCUUCGCUGCUUGUGCGGGUCCCCGUCAAUUCCUUUGAGUUUUAGCCUUGCGGCCGUACUCCCCAGGCGGGGUGCUUAAUGCGUUAGCUUCGGCACGGAGGGAGUUGACACCCCCCACACCUAGCACCCAUCGUUUACGGCGUGGACUAC
rnacentral:misc_RNA from 1 species